AGAACAGCCUGGCAGGAGAGAUACCAUCAUCAUGAAGGUGAUUUUCCCAGAGCUGGGCUUAUCCAUUGCAUUCUGGAUGUGCUGACGCCUGUGGUUUUCCCAAAUGUGGGAAACUGGACUGCAUAAUUUGUGGUAGUGGGGGACUAUGUUCGUGUUCUCUCCUG
ensembl:snRNA RNU1-16P RNA, U1 small nuclear 16, pseudogene